AGCAGCCGCGGUAAUUCCAGCUCCAAUAGCGUAUAUUAAAGUUGUUGCAGUUAAAAAGCUCGUAGUUGAAUUUCGGGAUUAGUACGUUGGUCGUGCCUUCGGUACGUACUGGUGUUACUGAUUCCUACCUUCUGACGAACCAUCAUGUCAUUAAUUUGGUGUGGCGGGGAACCAGGACUGUUACUUUGAAAAAAUUAGAGUGUUUAAAGCAGGCUCGCGCUUGAAUACAUUAGCAUGGAAUAAUGAAAUAGGACGUUGACCCUAUUUUGUUGGUUUCUAGGAUUGACGUAAUGAUUAAUAGGGAUAGUUGGGGGCAUUAGUAUUCAAUUGUCAGAGGUGAAAUUCUUGGAUUUAUUGAAGACUAACUACUGCGAAAGCAUUUGCCAAGGAUGUUUUCAUUAAUCAAGAACGAAAGUUAGGGGAUCGAAGACGAUCAGAUACCGUCGUAGUCUUAACCAUAAACUAUGCCGACUAGGGAUCGGAUGAUGUUAUUUUUAAUGACUCA
rnacentral:rRNA from 1 species